AACGAACGCUGGCGGCAUGCCUAACACAUGCAAGUCGAACGGGUACCUUCGGGUGCUAGUGGCGCACGGGUGCGUAACGCGUGGGAAUCUGCCCUUGGGUUCGGAAUAACUCAGCGAAAGCUGUGCUAAUACCGGAUGAUGUCGAAAGACCAAAGAUUUAUCGCCCGAGGAUGAGCCCGCGUUGGAUUAGCUAGUUGGUGGGGUAAAGGCCUACCAAGGCGACGAUCCAUAGCUGGUCUGAGAGGAUGAUCAGCCACACUGGGACUGAGACACGGCCCAGACUCCUGCGGGAGGCAGCAGUGGGGAAUAUUGGAAAAUGGGCGAAAGGCUGAUCCAGCAAUGCCGCGUGAGUGAUGAAGGCCUUAGGGUUGUAAAGCUCUUUUACCCGGGAUGAUAAUGACAGUACCGGGAGAAUAAGCUCCGGCUAACUCCGUG
rnacentral:rRNA from 1 species